GGGGAAUUAGCUCAAAUGGUAGAGCGCUCGCUUAGCAUGCGAGAGGUAGCCGGAUCGAUGCCCCGCAUUCUCCA
rnacentral:tRNA from 1 species